rnacentral:rRNA from 1 species
GCCAGCAGCCUUAUCACCCUGCACCUCACAACAGGCAGCCAACUGAAGCUAUGCAAGUGUGAUCCUGGUCAGUACUUGGAUGGGAGACCUCUUGGGAAACAUUAAGGUUGCUACUGGCA